rnacentral:tmRNA from 1 species
GGGGGCGAAUGGAUUCGACGGGGUUGGAUGACGCCCGGGUUGCGUGUCGAGGUCCCCGCGGCCUCGUUAAAAAGCGGGAAACAAACAACUGCCAACGAGCAGUAUCUCCUGGCUGCCUAAGAGCGGCCACGUCUGACCUGGCUUGCGCCUGCGGGGCCGGGAUCAGGCGCCGAUUACGUGGGCUGGUCCGGCGUGGAGUUCCGACGCUGCCGGGCGAGAUUCAGGGACUGGCUGCCUGACGAUCCUGCCUGCCGGAGCGUAAGGGAGCGAGACUCAAACGACAGGACACACACGUAGAGCCUUGGCUGAGGCAGCUUCGGACGCGGGUUCGAUUCCCGCCGCCUCCACCA